CCGUGCUAAGUGGGGAGGUAGCGGUGCCCUGUACUCGCAAUCCGCUAUAGCGAGACCGAAUUCCUUCUUUAGGUCUUGUUGUCGUAGGGUCUGCCCUAAAUAAGUGGUGUUGACGUUUGGGUUCUGCGCAACGGAAACCCAUGAACCCUGUCAGGUCCGGAAGGAAGCAGCAGUAAGUGGAUCCUUUCGUGUGCCGCAGAGGUGCCUGGGCCGAGCUAACUGUUUAGGUAACGCCUAGGUCAGCUUGAUCAACAGAAGGUGCACGG
rnacentral:SRP_RNA from 1 species